UCCACCCUCAUCGAAAAUAUAUUCUUGGGCUACCUCUGUAAGGAGACCCGUUGGGUUACAAAUGGUAGCCCGUUUUCCGUUUUGCUACAAAAUGGAGUGGCGGCGUACUGCCAUUUCCCACUUUAGCGCGGUUUCGCUGCCUCUGGGGAUGUAACCCUAAUAAGCUCCGGCUCCGAGCCUGCGCCGUUAAACAUGACUUCAUCUCAGUCGCAACAACAAAUCUUCGGUGUGAUGUUUGGAGGGCAUUGUCUUCAUCUCCUGUAGAUGAUGACUUCUCAGAAUUGGGAUCCCCAGUUCCUGAAGCUGCAAAUAGUCUUCCCAAGUUGAAGACGGAGAAGCCCGAGCCAUACAAUAAGAAGGCAAACCGUGGGGGGAAACUGUCUGGAGUACGGUUAGAAAGCAGCACCAGCUUGAAAAGUGAUUCCUCAAAAUUGGAGAGUGUAGGAGCAAGCAAGAGACUGGUUCUGUUUGAUGAGGUUUCUAUAAACUGCUUUGAACCUACAAAUCAUCCAGUAGACGACAAAGAGUCAGUUAGCAUUAAGAUUACCAAUAUCAACUUAGAAACCACUGAUUCUGCAGCUUGAAGGGACUUGUCAGAACAAAAGAGGAUGGAGUGGAUGCUUUCUUUAGCAUCAAAGACAGUGCUGACAUAAACAGCAUACUUGCAAAGUUGAAUGGUACAGUCAUGAAUGACCGUAAGUGGUCAGCUAAUUUACAUCAGAGACUCAGCUGCUGCUGUGAGCAAGAAAACUAAUGCCAACUUGGAUGCGGGAUUGCUUAUAAGCCAUCAGUUGGCAGAAGUGAGAAGGCAGGUCACCAUCAAGGCCGUGUGUUUAGAGACUUGGAGCAUCUGCAUAAUGCCUUGGUCCACCUUGAGGCUCACCCUGAUUGCGGAACUAGUAGUACCAGUGGUGACUGAGCUGAUUGGCUGAUUGCUGAUGUUUCGUAUAGUAAUACUAAUAAGAGAUUUGUGGAGAUGCCAAUUUUUGAUAUCUGAUUUGUUCAUAUUGACAUGCAGGGUCUUGAGGGUUUGUAGUAGUAAAAGUUCAAUGAAGUUUUGAAAUGUAGACAUCUCUGAGCUAUAAAGUACCUUGUUCUUCCG